GCCAUUUUGCUUGUGGGCUGCCGCCCGCCGUUGCCUCUUCCACAGAGGCUUGAAGAUAACCAACUGGAGGCAGAGAGGUGGGCAGAAUCUCCGUCUUUUUCACAACAGAUGCAUUCAACAAUUCACAGAAGUCUGGCCUCCAGCGCUGGGUGAACUCGGUUUGGGUGUCACUCGACGCCCACUAGGGGCUGAGGAGGCUCCAGUGCGCAGACUCCGGGCACCGGAUAAAAGCGGAGCUGGAGCGUCCAGCGCCGUCUCGAUGGAGGAGCGAGAAACGGAAGAGGUCGGGGGGAGAAGCAGCAGGAAAAGUACAGCCACCGUCAGCGCCGCUUUCCUGCCACCGUGUAUCGGGAGACCCGGAGCGCUUGGUAAGCCGAGUGGGGAGAGGCAGAGGCGGUCCGUGCAGCCAAUCAGUGCCUGGUGUGUUCCGUCGGCGCGUCGUGAUUGGCCAGCAAUGACCUCAUGCUGCAGCAGCGGGUGGGGCCAGAGCCGUCGGGGGAGGUUGUUGCAAAGGCAGAGAGGGAGAAGUGACGAUGGUGAUCGUUGCUGCCGCGGCUGAUAUGGAACCCAAGCAGUGGCGAAGAGAAUCUCAAGGCUCUUCCCUGAGUAUUUUCUCCUGUCCCUGCGCGAGGUGAGGGCCCCGGCUCGGCCUCUGCGAAACUUUGGGGCGCUGGCGCGGACGAGGAGACACACUUCCUCCCAUGACUUUUGUAACUGCGUCAGGGCAAGAUGGCGCUGGGUCUCCUUGGGGCGCGGGGGGAGAGGCACGUCCACCGCCGCCGCAGCGCAUGUGACCGGGCUGCAUUCCUGUGGGGUUUGGCUCCGACCCAGGCUGGGGCGGGGGAGGGGAAAGGGCUUGGGCGGAGGAGACUGUGGUGCGGUCGGCGUUGGCGGCCUGAAGAGGAAGAGAUGACUGUUUGAGAGCGCUUCCCCUCCCCCAGAUAGCUUACAGCUGCGGCUCCCGGGGGAAAGCCCCUGGAGGGACACUCACGGGGUGUGACGGCUGUUGGUGGAAGAGAAGGUUCGGUGCCCUAUUUUCUUAUCUACCUUUCUCCUUGCAAAGUGCUUACGUAAGGUGGCAGGUUCCUAAUGUGGGAGUCGCAAUCAACUGUGAGUCCCUGAGGGCCACUGGAUGGAGUAAAAAGCAGAGACUAGCUAGGCCACAACCUCAAGAAGUAUCCGUUAUUUUCUGAGAAAACGUAAAGUUUCUCAGAUUCCAGUAGAAAAAUAUUUCCUAAAUUUGGAAGCAAGUGUAAAAGGUGUAAAUAACACCCAGGAACACUUAAAAUUUCCUAAAAGUUACCAUCUGAAUUUUGAGGACCCUUUUCAGGUUUUCUGUUCCUUCCCUCUGUACUUCUCAUAUCUUCCCUAUCUGUAUAUUCUACAGGAAUGUAUAAACUUAGUGGAUAUGGUUUUCUUUUUAAAUUUAGGCGUGAUUAGUAAUAAGAAUAAAAGCUGCUAGUGCUGUAAUCUAUAUGAAGUAAGGGUGUUUUCAAUACUUCUGUCUUUCUGUCACCCUCUUAACUAUGGUUUUUAAAAAUAAAAAAUGAAAUCACUUUCGGCAAAUGUUAUUAAGAUUCCUGCACCAUUAUGAAGCCUACCUCUUUAAAUCACUUCUGUAGAAGUAUGACUUUUAAUUUUCGAAACCUUGUUAGUUGACGGUCUUUAGUUGGAAAGUUUUUAAGUAGCCUGUAUUGGUAGAUUCUGUAAUAAAUACUAGUUUUGUUUUUGA